GUAAAGAUAUGCAUUUUCCUAUGCCCCUUAAAUGCAAUUCUAUUAGCUUGCCAUAUACAUUUUCAUUCAAGGCAGAAUCAGUGAACGGAAAGUGACUCCCGACUUCUUCCAAAUACUUAACUGCACCAUCUAACCAAACAAAAGUAAAUGGUGGCGGGCUUUGAACUGAGUUUGCCAACUCCAACAACAAGAAUUUUGACAUGUC
rnacentral:lncRNA from 1 species